AUUGAACGCUGGCGGCAUGCUUUACACAUGCAAGUCGAACGGCAGCGCGGGCUUCGGCCUGGCGGCGAGUGGCGAACGGGUGAGUAAUGCAUCGGAACGUGCCCAGUAGUGGGGGAUAGCCCGGCGAAAGCCGGAUUAAUACCGCAUACGACCUGAGGGUGAAAGCGGGGGACCGAAAGGCCUCGCGCUAUUGGAGCGGCCGAUGUCGGAUUAGCUAGUUGGUGGGGUAAAGGCUUACCAAGGCGACGAUCCGUAGCUGGUCUGAGAGGACGACCAGCCACACUGGGACUGAGACACGGCCCAGACUCCUACGGGAGGCAGCAGUGGGGAAUUUUGGACAAUGGGGGCAACCCUGAUCCAGCCAUGCCGCGUGCGAGAAGAAGGCCUUCGAGUUGUAAACCGCUUUUGUUCGGGAAGAAAUCCUCUGGGCUAAUACCCCGGGGGGAUGACGGUACCGGAAGAAUAAGCACCGGCUAACUACGUG
rnacentral:rRNA from 1 species